rnacentral:lncRNA from 1 species
AUUUUCUCAGACGCCCCUGGGUUUUCGUCUCAACCAAAACAGAGCCGCGCAUAGAGACAGAGACACACGCGUCGGCGAAAGCCGUGACUCUCGCCCUCGGGGCGAGAGACACGGCGGUCCCGUCUUUUCUCUGUUCUUCGUGUCUCUCCACUCUACGUGUCGCAUUCCAAGGCCAACUCUGCAAAUUCCUCGUCGCUUUUCCCGCCGAGUCCACUCCCACGCGUCUUUUGUUUUUUGCGCGUCGCCCCACGUGCGAAAACGUCCUUUCACCCUGCGUCGUAUGCCGCGCUGGACGGGUUAUCCCAACUCGAAGAAGCGCAUCUCUCAGUCCUUCCCCGCGACAGCAUGCGCGAACUUGCCAAGAAUGCCUUUUGUCUCUCUCGUGACACGUCCAGUCUCGCAAGAGACUCAAUCGCAAAUCUUAUCAGUAGACGUCUGGAUCGAUGUGGGGUGGAAUUUCCAACGUGGAAAAAAAACACGCGCAUGCGUGCGAUGUGAGUGGGGGCUUCUCGUCGAAUCGAUACGUUUCGUGGACGGAUACAAAAACCUCUUAUCCUCCGCAAAAAUCCGUACCGAUUUUACCACACGCCCGCAGCCCGACCGCCCCCUCUCCGUAUUUACUCAUUACCAU